rnacentral:antisense_RNA from 1 species
GUGCAAAGGCAGAGGCUGUGGGAGCAGCAUCAAGCAAGACUUCGGGCAGUGAUUCUAACUAUUGCCCAUGAACACCGUGGCUGGGACGACUUUGACGAGGCAAUUUAUUACUUACGCAUAGAACACUGGCUGUGCUGAAACUGGGAGCGCAAACAGCCCCUUGUUUUCUAAUUUAGAGACUUGCAUCUUUUCGACACUCAACAGUAUCAAGACACUCUGCUACUACAGAUUGAUUUCCACCAUCAACACCUUUACCUCUUCCCGCCUGAAAAUAAAAUAUGAAAUAUAACAAGUAAAUCGCAAUCUACCUUGAAUCUUCUGGAGAGGGAAAGAAGAAACCAUGUCUAGACAAGGUGCUGGAAAGACCCAGGGAAGACACAGAUUUGUUCCUUUCUCCACCAUGCCUCACUAUGUGUCACCAAACUUAAUUCAGCAUCAGUGCUCUCAAAUACUCCAUCCUACAAUUAGAGAAACCACUGAAUUCAGAUAUCCUCCACCAAAAUGGUAACGAAGAUUAGAGAAAGUGACGCCCAUGUAUAGCGGAGAAGUGGAUUGCGGAUAUAACAAGGAGCACAGUAAAGUAAGAUGUAAAACACCUUAUUCAACAACAAGGAUGCUGACUCAAAAGCAAAAGUUGAAGCACAUUAUGAAUGAAUGUCAAAAGGGAAAAAUCUAAAGCUAACAUAAAAGAGUGUGACUACAUCAAAUUGGAUAAGGAAUAGUAUUUUAUAGCCAAUUAAUGAAUAUUUAAAGUACAUCAACCUCAUCUCUUUGAAACACAUAUGAACAUAGUUGAGCUAGAGGGUGACAUGAUGUAUAUAGUUAAUCCAGAGGCAUUUUUGUUAAAAUUUUUCAACAGUUUUAAUCACAUGUAUUUAGUGAUUCAUAUAAUUGCUAAAUUAUAAUCUAACCAAGUAGCCAGAAGUAACUUUUAUAUCAUUUGUUACAUAAUCAUAAUUGGCCAGAUUGUUCCAAACUCACAAGUUUAUGAAUGAUGACUGUAAAAGAAUUUGAAUUGGUCAAUUAUAAAGAACAAUGCAUCCCUUAAUUAAUACAUAUUUUAAUAAAAUUCAUCACUCCAGAAA